UCAUCUCUUUGCUGAUUCCAUCUUCUGGAUAUAGCCUAGAUCAGUAUUACCAUAUAUCAGCGUUUUCCUCAAAUGUGAAUAAGAAUGAGAAGCUUCUAUCAAGGCAUAUAUUGGUGAGCUGAAGUCUUGAGUCCAAAGAUUCAACUUUUUGCUCUCAUCUAUUUUGUGGAAAAAAGAAAUUAUGCUGCCACUGGAGGUUUCGGUGGUCAUCAUUUGAUAGAGCUCAAGUGAGUCUAAGCCGGAAGCCUACUAUGACUAAGAUUAAUUGAUUUGAGGUCAAUUCCUGGUCGCUGUUCCAUGGUUCUGAUCGAUUGGUGAAACUGCCGUGAGAUUGCUGAAUUUCAAGACUUCCAAGUUCAAAAUUCAAAUUAUGUGAAAGAAGUUAAAGUUACAACAAGUGCAUAUCUGGGCUCCCUUCUUUUCUGUGGCCCCGUUUCCCUAACUAUAACCACUAACCAACGCCCGCCGGUGGUCACUCGCCCGCUGUGAAACAAGGAGGAGGGGAGGGCUCUGGUCG